GAGACUCGUUAAAGCUAAAGAAGAUAUGUAGUAAAGAGAAGGCAGGGGUGGCGGCUGGUUGGAGGAGGGGGGUGACAGUCGUGCACAUGGAAUCCACAUUUAAAUGAAGGACUUGAAACGGAGUCUACAACACGAUACAGUCGCUGCUGAUGCUUGCUCAGCAUCCCUCUGCUGGCUCCAGUGUGUUUUCUAUGCAAAGGAAAACACCAAUCUCUUGCCCCUUGCAUGAAUAGGUUGAGCCGCUGCACCACUUAUGCCUUUAAACUGGAAAUAUAAUGGAAAUUGGCGUUUACAUGUUUAAAAACAACAUGAAGCAACUCCAAGUACCACUUGAAUUGGUCGCUUUGGAAAGCUUCUUGGACUGGAAAUAACCUGUAUUGAAAUGCUGACCGCAUAUUCCUGCUCUAAUCCACUCUCGCCCGGCCGGCAUUUCGAAGAGGCCCCUGCCUGCUGAAUAUCCUGAAAGGCUAGCAUCUCCAGGUGUUUAACCCGAUCACCUUACACGACCACUGAGUUUUACGUGCUUUUUUAAGAUUACUUGGAAAUCUGUGCUUGCAGGCAACACGGAAAUUACCGAGGGGUUGACGAAACGUAAGGACUGAAACGGGGUGCGCAUAAGCCCCUGUUAAAUCACUUUAUUUAACACGGCCCUUUGUUUACGUUAAGCAUGUAAUUAACACCCCCAAACAAGUUUAUUCACCUGGGCUAAUUGUCUGUUUAUCCCCGGGCUUCCACUGCUGUAGUCUUUGCGAUAAGCAGCGGGGGGACUAGCUCCUCAAUACCGACGAGCCAUUAGCUCCCUCUUUGUUUAUUUAAUUCCGCACCGCCUCACAGCACAAUACGGGCACCCGUUAAACUCCAACUCCACUUUACUGAAGAAGUAGAUUAUUUCAGCACUUCAGCCUUAGCCCUAACUAACAGCAAGAAUAACUUUGUGCGUUUUUUUAAAAACCAGAUGCUUAAUGUUUUUCUUUCAUGUGUCGUCACAGCAUGGGCUUUUGGACCUGGUGGAGCCGAAAAUAAGGUAAAAAAAUGUUCUACCCUUCUCACUUAGCUCUUAAAAAAAAAACUUAGGUUUUGUCAUUUCAUUAAAAAGCAUCCUCCAGCAUCUCCUCACGUUGACAUGCGCACGGAUUUCCACGUGUGAUUUCUGUGCCGCGAAAGCCUACUGCAGUGUAAGAGACCAGUUGGGAGAAGAAAUUUAGGAGCGCGUAUCUCCGUUCUCGUUUCAGGUUCUAGUCUGAAACAUUUUUAUGUAGAUUUUUGUAGAUAAUUACAUGCUUGAUUUUUUUGACAGAUCUAUUGUGUGGACACUGUGGAUACAGUCGCUCCCGUUUUGUGCUCGACGGAAUCCCUGAGUUACGCGUGAUUUCUAAGCGUAUUUAUGCUUUGCAUUUAAUCUGUCUUGACUUGUUUUGCCUCCUCUUCCUGUCGUCAUUUCUUCUUCGCUGAUUUUUCUCCCUCCCAUUCAUCACACAAGUCCCUCUCUUUUUCUUCUUCAUUGUAGCUGCGAAAUUCAUUAUGCUGUUUCAGACUAUCGUCGCAAGUUUUCUUUCUUGAAUCUUCCUAAGCGGACGCAGUUGGCAGGUGACUGUGGUCUGUCUCACGUGCCCGAUCAUGAACAUCAUCUUAACAUCUUCUUCCGACGCGGAUACUCUGCAUGCUCUCCACUCCAGAAAUCCGGAAAGGGCAAACGCAGCUUGCAGCUUUGUGGGGCCGUCGGGAUGGGGCGCAACUGCCCCUUUUUAUUAGCUUAGUCGAAAGCUUUCAACCUCUUCUGUUGUGCAUCGCCAGGACCUUUGCAUAGCCGUAACCUGCAGACGUGAUGUGGGGUUUUUGACACUCUGCUGAGGCAUCAUGCACUAAUAAUCUCAAACCCCACUGACUGAAAAUGCUGUGUGGACUGAGCUCGUUAUGUACGGGUGAGUAACUGCUGUCGGAUGGGAUAUGUGUCUGCGCUAGAGCUGGACUAGAGGGAUCGAUAGAGAGCGUCUGGAGAACUCCGGUACAGGCGCUGACUUGCAUCGGCCUGACAGCUACAAGCGGAGUAACGCCAAUGAACCGCAACAGGUAGAGCUGUUUCAUAGGAAAAUAUAAUAACUUUAUACAAACCUUGUUAGCAUUUAAUUUGACCAGCUCUCCGUAAAGACAUGCAAAAUAAUAAUUAAUGUAUUACUUACUUUUACAAGGAAAAGCCAUGUAAAAAGAAAAAUAUUUUAUUGUGUACAAAACAAAAAUCAAUAAGCUGGAUAUUUGUAAGACGGUAGAUGGCAAGGCAUGCCAUGUAAUUUUUUUCCAUAGGACUUUUAAAACUUUUGUUGACCUGGUCCACAGUUGAUUAGGCUAUUUUAUGAUACAAAUACAUAUUUCAGGUAUUCAUGGCAACUCAUCAGAUUUUUAAAAAAAAAUUAACAAUAUAUAAAUAUUGGAUUGCGACAUGCUUAUUUUUUAAACUAGUAAAAAUUAAAUGUUAGACAUGUACAAAUGGAAUCAGAAAGGCAGAAAAGGUAAUAUUUAUAUUAGGUAGGCUGUUCUGUGGGUAAGUAUGACCGUAUGACUGUUUCUGUUUGUUUUGGGGGGUUUUUUUCGUUAGGGACCAAAAUGUAAAGCUAAACAUGAAUUUCUUUAAAGCUUCUUUGUUGUGACAACGCCCAGUUGUUAAAGGCGCUAUAUAAACAGGUUAAAAUUGGACUGAAAUGAAAUUGAUCGUAACUUCGUAACCUAGACUGUCAGUUCAGGCUGGUGCAGAUUUAGUUUCCUCAAAAAGUAUCGUUGACUACCAAAAUCUAAUCGUUAAUAGUAGAGCUCAUUUCGACCUCUGAAAAUGAGACCAACUGAAACUGGCCCCCAAAACUCAAAGUUAGAACAUAACUGUGUUGGAAUUUAACUUUUCGUUAAGUGCUUAAAACACUGAUUACAGGUAUCUCAUGUCUUUCUUUCUUUCUUUCUUUCUUUCUUUCUUUCUUUCUUUCUUUCUUUCUUUCUCAUACAGUUAGGGGGGAAUUUGAGAAGGCAGUUUCUACAAUGUUUUGUUAACCAGCUUACAGAAGGCUUAUUAAUACUAAUUAAUUUCGUCACACAGUUUUCUUAUAUUUACUAUUUAAAUAAAUUUCUAUCAUGGCUCAACAUUACUUUUAUUUUUUUAUAUAAUUUUAUUACCCUGUGUUACAAAUAAACGUAACCCAGAGUAAUUAAAUUUAAUACUCAACUGCUUUCUCUCUCUCUCUCUCUCUCUCUCUCUCUCUCUCUCUCUCUCUCUCCUUAAAGUACACGACUAUAAGUGGACGUUCAAAAUUACCUUCAGCUUAAUCUGGCAAGAAUCUGCAUCUAUUAUUUCCAUCUAUUAAACCGUUAAUGUCCAAAGUAGACUCGUGCUUAUACUCUGUACCUCCAUCAACUGACUCAUUAAGUGACUCACCAUUUUCUUACGUAGUCGCGUCACUUACUGCACACUGCUGUAGAUUUUUUUGCAUGAACUCAAGAACAUUAUGGCUUAGUGUAGUUAUAAAGAUUUCUCUUGUUUUCACCAAACUUAAGCACCCAGCUACAAAGCAGAAACCCCACCCCUUUUGCUGAAAUUGUUGUGCAAGUACUUACAAACAUGCAGUCAGAGGUAAAUUUGGGAUUGGCUAAUCCACUGUAAUUCUGUAAUUGGCUAAAUUUGGGUCACACACUUGCCAAUAGGAGGAAAAAUAAUAAUCUUGCUGAAUUGUAAUCGCAAUGGCCUUUAACAUUUAAAAAAAAAAAAAAAUUGGGACACCAGUAAAAGAACUGGACUAACAACAGAACGAUCUGGAUGAAACAGGAUGGGUGGCAGCUUCAGGUUUUUCAGUGUAUGGUUUAGGACCCAGCCUGUGUGUGAUGACUUGGUUGCAUUUGUCUGCUGAUAAGUCACACAGAGGUAAUGGGAAGUUAUUGGGAGCUCGUCCUAAGUUCAUGGUUCAUGGUGAGGUUAAAGAGACUGUUGAUACUGUUGCUUGCUCUCAAUGUUAAGUCCUCUUCCUUCCUAAAAGAGGAUGUGCCCUAGCCACUGUGCACUCAUGUUUGUUUUUAUAGGUUUAUGCCAUUGGCCCAAACAGGAAUGCACAAUAACACCAUGACGUCAUAGACUGCAAGUUUUUCUCUCGUCUUUCUUUGUAAAAUCACACAAGGCCUGUCCUCGAACUUCAGUCAAGUCCUUUGUCUUUGUCUAUUUUUAGCCACCUAUCCCAAAGCACUUGGGAACUGACUCAACUUGAGCACAUAACCCCUAAAAGUAGAUUUUCGCUGACAAUAUGAUUGUCGAUUCUGACAGUUCUGAUCACCUGCAAAAUCCCAUGCCAAAAAUGUAAUGUUUUACAAGCUGAUAUGUAUAAUAUAUUAUAUGACCAGCUGCUACAUGUAUAACUAUCAAUAAAAAUCUGUUGUCUAA